AUGCCAGCUGCCGUUUGUAUACAGGGUGUGUCUGAAAUACGCGGCACGCUUUGGAGAGUGUCAACUAGAUGCAAUAGGGAAUCGGACGAUCGCAUUGUAACACUAAUGAUUCCUUUACAAGAAGAGGCGCUAAAUAUACCCCAAGAAAUGCCCAAGUAUCAACACAACACCAUCUUGUCAGCCACUUAGAAAUGAGAUACGACGAUAAACAUCUACAACAGGUAAAUCAGACUCAACUGAAAAAUCGUAAGAUUAGUCUCCCCUCUGCCCUCAAGAGUCAACAGGCAGUACAAACAUUUAUAGAUGGAAUCAGGAACGGUGAACUACAGCAAGUCUUUAUAUUAGCACGCCACAAGACUCCAAGGGAAGAGCCGCCACACGCCCUGGAAUUUGAAGCGGCGAAACAAGCCUCCAACGAUCAUGUACGGGUGCUACAAACAGCAAAUUACAAAAGAAAGUAUCUUGUCGCUCAUCAGGAAAUGCAUAAUCGAUGUGACGAAAGCCACUGCCAGAAACACGGAAGAACGGAAUCAAAAAUGUUGAGAAUGUGGUAGGACUGUCAUUUGCUCGGGACUGUAACAACUACAAUGGUCGUCCGAUAUGGUGGAAUUACCUUCAUCGCUUUCAUAACAGUGUUUUCAUGAUUUUUUUAAAAAAAUAUGUUGAAAAUGCAAAUGGAAAUAUCACUGAUGAAGAUUCAGGUGAUGAGGAUAACUUAAAUUUGUCCAACCUUCCUACUACCUGCACCAACAGAACUUGAAAUAAUAAAUUCCGCAUGUGUUCUUCUAUCAGACAUUAAUGUCGUUAUCUAUUACAUUCAUGUCUGAAGCGUCACGAAAAAUUGCUAAGGUAACAUUCUGUUGUGGAUGGUGAAGGAGAAUAGUUUGCGCCAGUUGCUUUUUCUUUGAUUUGAAUGGUUCGUCGACUGUGGUGUUUUGUCUUUUAUAUUCGGAUGUUAAGAUGGGCAGAAAUUUUUCAUAGAAGUUAAGCAUACCCAGAAAUCUUCGCAGUUGUUUUGCGGUACUUAGUUUAGGAAAAUUUAUAAUUGCCGUCACUCUGUUAGAUAAAGGGCGAAUACUAUUUGCUGAAAUAGAGUAGCCUAGAAAAGAGACCUAUUUUUCACCA